rnacentral:rRNA from 1 species
AGAGUUUGAUCAUGGCUCAGAUUGAACGCUGGCGGCAGGCUUAACAUAUGCAAGUCGAGCGGUAACAUUUCUAGCUUGCUAGAAGAUGACGAGCGGCGGACGGGUGAGUAAUACUUAGGAAUCUACCUAGUAGUGGGGGAUAGCUCGGGGAAACUCGAAUUAAUACCGCAUACGUCCUACGGGAGAAAGGGGGCAACUUGUUGCUCUCGCUAUUAGAUGAGCCUAAGUCGGAUUAGCUAGAUGGUGGGGUAAAGGCCUACCAUGGCGACGAUCUGUAGCUGGUCUGAGAGGAUGAUCAGCCACACCGGGACUGAGACACGGCCCGGACUCCUACGGGAGGCAGCAGUGGGGAAUAUUGGACAAUGGGGGCAACCCUGAUCCAGCCAUGCCGCGUGUGUGAAGAAGGCCUUUUGGUUGUAAAGCACUUUAAGCAGUGAAGAAGACUCUUCGGUUAAUACCCGGAGACGAUGACAUUAGCUGCAGAAUAAGCACCGGCUAACUCUGUGCCAGCAGCCGCGGUAAUACAGAGGGUGCAAGCGUUAAUCGGAAUUACUGGGCGUAAAGCGAGCGUAGGUGGCUUGAUAAGUCAGAUGUGAAAUCCCCGGGCUUAACCUGGGAACUGCAUCUGAAACUGUUAGGCUAGAGUAGGUGAGAGGGAAGUAGAAUUUCAGGUGUAGCGGUGAAAUGCGUAGAGAUCUGAAGGAAUACCGAUGGCGAAGGCAGCUUCCUGGCAUCAUACUGACACUGAGGCUCGAAAGCGUGGGUAGCAAACAGGAUUAGAUACCCUGGUAGUCCACGCCGUAAACGAUGUCUACUAGUCGUUGGGUCCCUUGAGGACUUAGUGACGCAGCUAACGCAAUAAGUAGACCGCCUGGGGAGUACGGCCGCAAGGUUAAAACUCAAAUGAAUUGACGGGGCCCGCACAAGCGGUGGAGCAUGUGUUUAAUCGAUGCAACGCGAAGAACCUUACCUGGUCUGAAAAUAUUCUAGAAUCCUGCAGAAGAUGCGGGAGUGCCUUCG